GACGAACGCUGGCGGCGUGCUUAACACAUGCAAGUCGAACGGAAAGUCCCUGCUUUUGUGGGGUGCUCGAGUUGCGAACGGGUGAGUAACACGUGAGUAACCUGCCCUUGACUUUGGGAUAACUUCAGGAAACUGGGGCUAAUACCGGAUAGGAGCUCCUGCUUCAUGGUGGGGGUUGGAAGGUUUCGGCGGUUGGGGAUGGACUCGCGGCUUAUCAGCUUGUUGGUGGGGUAGUGGCUUACCAAGGCUUUGACGGGUAGCCGGCCUGCGCGGGUGACCGGCCACAUUGGGACUGAGAUACGGCACAGCCUCCUACGGGAGGCAGCAGUGGGGAAUAUUGCACAAUGGGAGGAAGCCUGAUGUAGCAACGCCGCGUGCGGGAUGACGGCCUUCGGGUUGUAAACCGCUUUCGCCUGUGACGAAGCGUGAGUGACGGUAAUGGGUAAAGAAGCACCGGCUAACUACGUG
rnacentral:rRNA from 1 species